rnacentral:misc_RNA from 1 species
GGGAUUUCGCCGUCUUCGUUUCUCUUUCUUCGCGGACGAACACGCGCUGGGCCUGCAACGGCAGGAUCCAGGGUCCUUAACGGGAUGUGCGUUAGGGGCUUGUAGCUCAGUUGGUUAGAGCGCGCGCUUGAUAAGCGUGAGGUCGGAAGUUCAAGUCUUCCCAGGCCCACCACUUUCAUCGAGUGAGCAUUCGUCUUCUGGUUACGGGGCCAUAGCUCAGCUGGGAGAGCGCGUGCUUUGCAAGCAUGAGGUCGUCGGUUCGAUCCCGUCUGGCUCCACCAGAUGGUUUGAUCACCGAGAUCUUGACCGUCGUCCGCGAAACAUCACUUCGCAUCCUGCUAGUCUGGAUAGACAGCAGUUUGCGUGUUUUCUGACAUCGUAAAGAGGAGAUCGAUCCGAGUUGGGUCGUGCAGCAUAUCGUUGCGCGAGCCUUCAUUAUCUCCGGAUCAUUUCGGCGCUCGCUUCCAGCCGUGAGGUUGGAUGCGGGUUGUAAAUGAUCCUUUUAGCGAAGCUUGACCGCCUCGCUAUCGGAACGAUCUUACGAAGCAAGCUGGUCUUUCUAGUCAAUGUCCGGCUGCGGAUAGCGUUCAUCGAGGGCGCGUGCCGCAAGGCAAUUCUGCAGACAACAUUCUGCCGAGUGUGUGGACAUUGAUAAUGAGAGCAAUCAAGUGCCUUAAGGGUGUUCGGUGGAUGCCUUUGGCGCUGAGAGGCGGUGAAGGACGUGCUACGCUGCGAUAAGCCGUGGGGAGCUGCGAAAGAAGCUUUGGUCCGCGGAUUUCC